rnacentral:rRNA from 1 species
CCUUAGGUGUACCUCCGGGGAGGAUCUAUUAC